UGCUCCACCGAAAGAAAAAGAGUGGCGAACGGGUGAGUAACACGUGGGUAACCUGCCCAUCAGAAGGGGAUAACACUUGGAAACAGGUGCUAAUACCGUAUAACACUAUUUUCCGCAUGGAAGAAAGUUGAAAGGCGCUUUUGCGUCACUGAUGGAUGGACCCGCGGUGCAUUAGCUAGUUGGUGAGGUAACGGCUCACCAAGGCCACGAUGCAUAGCCGACCUGAGAGGGUGAUCGGCCACACUGGGACUGAGACACGGCCCAGACUCCUACGGGAGGCAGCAGUAGGGAAUCUUCGGCAAUGGACGAAAGUCUGACCGAGCAACGCCGCGUGAGUGAAGAAGGUUUUCGGAUCGUAAAACUCUGUUGUUAGAGAAGAACAAGGAUGAGAGUAGAACGUUCAUCCCUUGACGGUAUCUAACCAGAAAGCCACGGCUAACUACGUGCCAGCAGCCGCGGUAAUACGUAGGUGGCAAGCGUUGUCCGGAUUUAUUGGGCGUAAAGCGAGCGCAGGCGGUUUCUUAAGUCUGAUGUGAAAGCCCCCGGCUCAACCGGGGAGGGUCAUUGGAAACUGGGAGACUUGAGUGCAGAAGAGGAGAGUGGAAUUCCAUGUGUAGCGGUGAAAUGCGUAGAUAUAUGGAGGAACACCAGUGGCGAAGGCGGCUCUCUGGUCUGUAACUGACGCUGAGGCUCGAAAGCGUGGGGAGCGAACAGGAUUAGAUACCCUGGUAGUCCACGCCGUAAACGAUGAGUGCUAAGUGUUGGAGGGUUUCCGCCCUUCAGUGCUGCAGCAAACGCAUUAAGCACUCCGCCUGGGGAGUACGACCGCAAGGUUGAAACUCAAAGGAAUUGACGGGGGCCCGCACAAGCGGUGGAGCAUGUGGUUUAAUUCGAAGCAACGCGAAGAACCUUACCAGGUCUUGACAUCCUUUGACCACUCUAGAGAUAGAGCUUCCCCUUCGGGGGCAAAGUGACAGGUGGUGCAUGGUUGUCGUCAGCUCGUGUCGUGAGAUGUUGGGUUAAGUCCCGCAACGAGCGCAACCCUUAUUGUUAGUUGCCAUCAUUUAGUUGGGCACUCUAGCGAGACUGCCGGUGACAAACCGGAGGAAGGUGGGGAUGACGUCAAAUCAUCAUGCCCCUUAUGACCUGGGCUACACACGUGCUACAAUGGGAAGUACAACGAGUUGCGAAGUCGCGAGGCUAAGCUAAUCUCUUAAAGCUUC
rnacentral:rRNA from 1 species